AAAAAAUAAUGCAUAUGUUUUUUAUAACUCAAUGGAUAGUUUUCAUUAUAAAACUUAUGUACAUAUACUUUUUUCUGAAGAAAAUUCUUUAAUUUAUUCAUAUUUAGAAGAAGUUUACUUUAUUUUAAUUGCUUGCUUCCAGCAACCAAUUCCCCCGACAUAUUUUCCGUAUGCAAAGUGACCUCAGUGUGACCCAUCUCGUAAAAAUCCGGUAAUUACAAUACGCAUGGAUGUCCUUAAAAUAAACUAUUAUCUGAAUUCACAUGUGAAACACGUGCUCUCUUUCCAUGCUUUUUUGUUUAUUUUUUGUCGAUUGUUGACAAACAGGUGACCAUCGUUAAACUUCGGCUUCAAAACACGAACUUUAAUUACCUGCCAUAUUUUCACAACAACACUGACCGAUUGAAAAAAAAAUUGACGAUUAUACGAAAUUUACAAGAAAAAAAUGAUAAAUUCGUGCACAGAAGACUACGUUUAUGAUGUUUGUAUGCAUUGGUGCAAGAAUUGGAAGAAC
rnacentral:lncRNA from 1 species